GGCCUGGGGAGCGGCCCCCAUCCUCUCCUGCCAGGAGGGGCCUCUGCCCACCAGAGCACCGCCGCUGCUCUUGCAGCCGCUGUUCCACUUUGGGCACGGGGGUGCAGGUUAACUUAUUUUUAUAUUUGACAGUAGUCAAGUUUUGCGAUCUUUGAGUCACUCUGAUAUUUCCAAAUUCUUUUAUGGUUUUUCUGAAGGAAAUACUGGAAAACUUAAUUUAGAUGUGGUUGCCCUCUUUCCAAAAAUUAUUAUAAUGAGCAAAUAACACUAAGUUCUGAGUCUCUAAGAAGCCAAUUCACAGCUCUGAGCAGAACCCGGGCCUGGAGGAGCAGUGGAGAAGGGCCCUCCCGGCGGGGCCGCCCCGAAUCAGAGGGGUGCUGGACGUGGGGAAUUCAGUCUGCUCUGAACCUCAGCCUCAGUCCUUGGUUGGUAAUGUGAGGCCAAAACAAAAGAAAGCUGCCUGAGGGCCUCGGGACUCAGCACGGGGGUGGACAGGCCCCCCGGGUGCUGCCAGCCUCCCGGCCCCCGUCCUGUUCUCCCAAGGGGUGGGGUCACCCCGACACCGUCCCAGGACCCACCCCCCAGCUGGCAAACGGCCACGUGUGUGCAGCCCCUUCUCCAGCCACCUCACGUUCGGGAGUAAGACAAGCCUGUUCGUAUCACUCAGUACAGAGACUGUCAGGUGCCAAAUUCUUGACCCUACGAGACGUGUAGCGAACGAGGACACGCUCACGUACAACGCUGUCUGCAGGCGGCACGGUGCCCACCGCCCUGCCAAGAAGGGAGCCGAGAUGACUCGAGCAGCACACUGCUGCCAGUGUCGGUGGCCCGCAAGGGGGCCAGGCUCCAGCUCUGGGGUACCCGGUGCUACCGCCAGUUCUGACAGACUUAAGAACUUGAACUUCACUUCUGGGGGAUAUACUGAAAUGUAGAUUCGCUGUUUGGGGGGAAAUAGCAUUUUAAGGUCGGAAAUUGUGUCUGAAAGAUUGUAUGAGUAUUUUUGUAUUAAAAAAAAUUUAAAG
ensembl:lncRNA